CAGAUGUCCUACAACUGUUUGCUGCAUCCUCCAUUUGCAGCUUACCUUAUCAUGGAUACACAUAACAGCAUUAUUAAAUCAUAAACCGUAUGCAUCAUUGCUUAAUUGUGUCCUUGUUAGUUCGUUGUACAAGAAUUGCGUGGUUAUCAGCUGGGACGACAGGAGGAAUUAAAGAUGAGAAGCUAUAUCUCUGCCUAGUCUCAAUCAACUGAAGGCCUUAGCGUUUGUGAUUGUCUGAUUGACAUACGCAUUCCACCUAAAUAAAGCUGGGACAAAACUCGUGUAAUCAUUCAUAACGGCCGUCAACAUUCAUAUAUAUGUAUUCGGUCAUAUAGAGUAAUCAGCUGCUAGAUCAGUUAACUAAAUAAAGAUCAGUGAGUGAGGCAUCAAGUGCAAUUAUUUAAUAAGUCCAGCCAACCAUGAAUCAUGUAAUAUACUCCAUCAUCAGUGUGCACUCAAGUGUAUGGCCGGGUCAAGCCAACCGACACGGUGCUGCUGGUUUUGACCAACACUUGGAUAGUUCCUUUUCAGAGUACACGUGAAGCUUCAUCUGUCUUUGAGUAGCCGAACGGGUCAGCUCUUCUAUGUCCACUGACCAUUAGUAUUGCCCUUCUCAAUUUUCAGAAAGUUGAACCAGCUGCCUGCUAGUUGCACCGCGUGUUUUGUUGGUGUUUCUUGUUUGAAAUCAAUCUCAAAUCCUUGGCAAAAAAAGAUUGUGACUAAUGCAGGAAAAAAGAAAAAGAAAAAGAAAAUGGUUUGCAGGGAUCUUGUUCCUGCGGCAUUGCAGCAGGUGGUCGGUUCAUGCUGCGGUUUGUGCUUGUGACAUAAAAACCAACUGCAAGGUACGCAGUCACUGUGCAGCAGGGUGUGUGUGUUUGCGCGCAGC
rnacentral:lncRNA from 1 species